CGACCAUUGAGGCUUAUGAGAAGAAGACCAGUCCUAAAUGGCGUUAUGAUCUUGGGCGUAAGAGGAACUUUGAACAGGUGUUUGGUUUGGACAAACGGUAUUGGUUCAUUCCUGCUUACUCUGAAGAAGAUUUAAGACGGAUACCUGCUCUUCACGGUCUUGAAUACCCAUCAAAGCCUGACCUUGAUGCCCAAGAAUAAUCAUGAUGUGCAUACCGAACAUAAGUUUCGUUCUUUGUAACAAAAUAUGCAGCGCCUCAGGAUUUCAACUGAUUAACCGGCUUUAACUACAUUGGACUGGACCUUUGCAUGUACUCGUAAUAUGCAGAGCAACAACACAAGAAUAUGAAGAGUCUGAGCAGGCG
rnacentral:misc_RNA from 1 species